AUCCUGGCUCAGGACGAACGCUGGCGGCGUGCCUAAUACAUGCAAGUCGAGCGGACAGAUGGGAGCUUGCUCCCUGAUGUUAGCGGCGGACGGGUGAGUAACACGUGGGUAACCUGCCUGUAAGACUGGGAUAACUCCGGGAAACCGGGGCUAAUACCGGAUGGUUGUUUGAACCGCAUGGUUCAAACAUAAAAGGUGGCUUCGGCUACCACUUACAGAUGGACCCGCGGCGCAUUAGCUAGUUGGUGAGGUAACGGCUCACCAAGGCGACGAUGCGUAGCCGACCUGAGAGGGUGAUCGGCCACACUGGGACUGAGACACGGCCCAGACUCCUACGGGAGGCAGCAGUAGGGAAUCUUCCGCAAUGGACGAAAGUCUGACGGAGCAACGCCGCGUGAGUGAUGAAGGUUUUCGGAUCGUAAAGCUCUGUUGUUAGGGAAGAACAAGUGCCGUUCGAAUAGGGCGGUACCUUGACGGUACCUAACCAGAAAGCCACGGCUAACUACGUGCCAGCAGCCGCGGUAAUACGUAGGUGGCAAGCGUUGUCCGGAAUUAUUGGGCGUAAAGGGCUCGCAGGCGGUUUCUUAAGUCUGAUGUGAAAGCCCCCGGCUCAACCGGGGAGGGUCAUUGGAAACUGGGGAACUUGAGUGCAGAAGAGGAGAGUGGAAUUCCACGUGUAGCGGUGAAAUGCGUAGAGAUGUGGAGGAACACCAGUGGCGAAGGCGACUCUCUGGUCUGUAACUGACGCUGAGGAGCGAAAGCGUGGGGAGCGAACAGGAUUAGAUACCCUGGUAGUCCACGCCGUAAACGAUGAGUGCUAAGUGUUAGGGGGUUUCCGCCC
rnacentral:rRNA from 1 species